rnacentral:misc_RNA from 1 species
CUUUGAAACGGACGCGUGAGAGUUACACAGAUCUUCGGUUCAUGCUUCAGGAAGAUGUCAACCGCUUAUUUUCUCAACGGAGGUGCGGUCGACCAGCGUUAAAAACUCAGGCAGGAGGCGGUGGUGCUGACGGAGAAGCCAUUCCUGUUGACUAUUCCUUGUCCUUGAGACCUUUGAAAGACAGGAGAAGAGAAAAGGAGUGCUCGUUUCAGGCCGGUUCGACGUCGGUGGGGGUCAUCGAUUAUCUUCAGAUAUUUCAUCAACGCAGUAACGGGAAAUCGAACGGAGAUUCUGAAGCCGUCGAUAAUGCUUCAUCGGGAAAUUGUAGCCCAACGAUGUGAGGUAUUAUAGGGAUUACUUUUGCAUUGACCUUUUCGACACAGCAGUCUUAGUCGAGUUUUCUUUUGACCAUUAUUUAAUUUGUAUUAAAAUUAUUAAUUAAUGAGAUAUUUUCAUUAUUUCCCUUUCUCUUGACAUUUGCCCCUGUAAACAACUCUCUUUGGAUUAGCAAAAUAAUAAAACAAUAGCUAGGUGGGGAGAAAC